CAUAUCAAGAUACAAUUCCAAGUCCUCUGCCCAAACAAGACUUCGGACAGCAGCCUAGCACCGCCCAUACCACCAAUCCAAAUCCAUCACCAACUCCACAAGUAAACCAACUCUUACACUCAAUCAGCUCCAAAACCACGGCACUCUUUCAUCCACUUCCACUUCACAUUCCAAACCACAACUGCAACUCUUCUGCUUAGUUAUUAUCGACAAAGAGGAGCUGAAGGAGGAAGCCGCGAGUUGCAUUUCCCUUUUGUCUUGUCCGUAAGCUGAGGGAGAAACCAGAGAACCAUCACCACCUUCGAUAACUUCAGACCAACAUCACAACUGCAAUCUUAACCACUCUGC
rnacentral:lncRNA from 1 species